GUGAGCGCUGGCGGUAGGCCUAACCCAUGCACGUCGAACGGCAGCACAGUAAGAGCUUGCUCUUACGGGUGGCGAGUGGCGGACGGGUGAGGAAUACAUCGGAAUCUACUUUUUCGUGGGGGAUAACGUAGGGAAACUUACGCUAAUACCGCAUACGACCUACGGGUGAAAGCAGGGGAUCUUCGGACCUUGCGCGAUUGAAUGAGCCGAUGUCGGAUUAGCUAGUUGGCGGGGUAAAGGCCCACCAAGGCGACGAUCCGUAGCUGGUCUGAGAGGAUGAUCAGCCACACUGGAACUGAGACACGGUCCAGACUCCUACGGGAGGCAGCAGUGGGGAAUAUUGGACAAUGGGCGCAAGCCUGAUCCAGCCAUACCGCGUGGGUGAAGAAGGCCUUCGGGUUGUAAAGCCCUUUUGUUGGGAAAGAAAAGCAGCAGGUUAAUACCCCGCUGUUCUGACGGUACCCAAAGAAUAAGCACCGGCUAACUUCGUG
rnacentral:rRNA from 1 species